GAGCGAACGGACGAGAAGCUUGCUUCUCUGAUGUUAGCGGCGGACGGGUGAGUAACACGUGGAUAACCUACCUAUAAGACUGGGAUAACUUCGGGAAACCGGAGCUAAUACCGGAUAAUAUUUUGAACCGCAUGGUUCAAAAGUGAAAGACGGUCUUGCUGUCACUUAUAGAUGGAUCCGCGCUGCAUUAGCUAGUUGGUAAGGUAACGGCUUACCAAGGCAACGAUGCAUAGCCGACCUGAGAGGGUGAUCGGCCACACUGGAACUGAGACACGGUCCAGACUCCUACGGGAGGCAGCAGUAGGGAAUCUUCCGCAAUGGGCGAAAGCCUGACGGAGCAACGCCGCGUGAGUGAUGAAGGUCUUCGGAUCGUAAAACUCUGUUAUUAGGGAAGAACAUAUGUGUAAGUAACUGUGCACAUCUUGACGGUACCUAAUCAGAAAGCCACGGCUAACUACGUGCCAGCAGCCGCGGUAAUACGUAGGUGGCAAGCGUUAUCCGGAAUUAUUGGGCGUAAAGCGCGCGUAGGCGGUUUUUUAAGUCUGAUGUGAAAGCCCACGGCUCAACCGUGGAGGGUCAUCGGAAACUGGAAAACUUGAGUGCAGAAGAGGAAAGUGGAAUUCCAUGUGUAGCGGUGAAAUGCGCAGAGAUAUGGAGGAACACCAGUGGCGAAGGCGACUUUCUGGUCUGUAAC
rnacentral:rRNA from 1 species